CCUACGGGUGGCAGCAGUAGGGAAUUUUGCGCAAUGGGGGAAACCCUGACGCAGCAACACCGCGUGAAUGUUAAGCCCUUCGGGGUGUAAAGUUCUGUCAAUAGGGACGAAUUUUGACUGUACCUAUAAAGGAAGCACCGGCUAACUCCGUGCCAGCAGCCGCGGUAAUACGGGGGGUGCAAGCGUUGUCCGGAAUCAUUGGGCGUAAAGCGUUCGUAGGCGGGAUGUCAAGUCUGAUGUAAAAGCCCGGGGCUCAACCCCGGCGAGCCGUUGAAACUGGCCGUCUUGAGAUGGCGAGAGGUAUGCGGAAUGCGCGGUGUAGCGGUGAAAUGCUUAGAUAUUGCGCAGAACUCCGAUUGCGAAGGCAGCAUACCGGCGGCGUACUGACGCUGAGGCACGAAAGCGUGGGUAUCGAACAGGAUUAGAUACCCCAGUAGUC
rnacentral:rRNA from 1 species